rnacentral:rRNA from 1 species
AGCAGCCGCGGUAAUUCCAGCUCCAAUAGCGUAUAUUAAAGUUGUUGCAGUUAAAAAGCUCGUAGUUGAACUUCGGGGUUUACCCAUUGGUCAGGCUUAAUUGUCUGUACUGGUGAGAUAAAUCUCUACCUUCUGAGGAACUUUCAUGCCAUUUAUUUGGUGUGAUGGGAAAUCAGGACUGUUACUUUGAAAAAUUAGAGUGUUUAAAGCAGGCUAACGUCUGAAUACAUUAGCAUGGAAUAAUGAAAUAGGACGGACUGAUUCUAUUUCGUUGGUUUCUAGGAUCACCGUAAUGAUUAAUAGGGAUAGUUGGGGGCAUUAGUAUUCAAUUGUCAGAGGUGAAAUUCUUGGAUUUAUUGAAGACUAACUACUGCGAAAGCAUUUGCCAAGGAUGUUUUCAUUAAUCAAGAACGAAAGUUAGGGGAUCGAAGACGAUCAGAUACCGUCGUAGUCUUAACCAU